AACUUUCAGCAACGGAUCUCUUGGCUCUCGCAUCGAUGAAGAACGCAGCGAAAUGCGAUAAGUAAUGUGAAUUGCAGAAUUCAGUGAAUCAUCGAAUCUUUGAACGCACCUUGCGCUCCUUGGUAUUCCGAGGAGCAUGCCUGUUUGAGUGUCAUUARAU
rnacentral:rRNA from 1 species